rnacentral:lncRNA from 1 species
GUCCAAGGUUUUAAUAUGUUUUCAUUUUAGAUUUAAGUUUUUAAUCCUGCCUUUGCCUCCCAAAGUGCUGGGAUUACAAGCGUGAGCUACCACACCCAGCGAGGAAGCCAAGUUUAACGUGUGUGCUCCACUCCUCCAACCUGGCCAAAGGGCAGUCAUCAUCACUGGCCACUGCUGACCACAGCCUUUAGAAACUCCCCUUGAACGUGCUGGGCUGACCUUCCUCUGAUCACAGGCAAGGUUGUAGAUGAGCAUGAGAGUGUGGAGCAGAGUUGGCGAGUGCAAGUCGAGCCCAUCAACCUGGACAGCUGUCUCCGUGCUUUCACCAGUGAGGAAGAGCUAGGGGAAGAUGAGAUAUACUACUGUUCCAAGUGUAAGACCCACUGCUUUAGCAACAAAGAAGCUGGAUCUCUGGAGGCUUCCACCCUUCCUGAUUAUUCACCUUAAGCGAUUUCAAUUUGUAAAUGAUCAGUGGAUAAAAUCACAGAAAAUUGUCAAAUUUCCUCGGGAAAGUUUUGAUCCGAGUGCUUUUUUGGUACCACGAGACCCGGCUCUCUGCCAGCAUCAACCACUCACACCCCAGGGGGAUGAGCUCUCCAAGCCCAGGAUUCUGGCAA